rnacentral:rRNA from 1 species
AGGGAACGCGGGCGGUAGGCCUAACACAUGCAAGUCGAACGGCAGCACAGUAAGAGCUUGCACUUACGGGUGGCGAGUGGCGGACGGGUGAGGAAUACAUCGGAAUCUACUUUUUCGUGGGGGAUAACGUAGGGAAACUUACGCUAAUACCGCAUACGACCUACGGGUGAAAGCAGGGGAUCUUCGGACCUUGCGCGAUUGAAUGAGCCGAUGUCGGAUUAGCUAGUUGGCGGGGUAAAGGCCCACCAAGGCGACGAUCCGUAGCUGGUCUGAGAGGAUGAUCAGCCACACUGGAACUGAGACACGGUCCAGACUCCUACGGGAGGCAGCAGUGGGGAAUAUUGGACAAUGGGCGCAAGCCUGAUCCAGCCAUACCGCGUGGGUGAAGAAGGCCUUCGGGUUGUAAAGCCCUUUUGUUGGGAAAGAAAAGCAGCAGGUUAACACCCCGCUGUUCUGACGGUACCCAAAGAAUAAGCACCGGCUAACUUCGUA